UUACCUAGUUGCCUAGUUGCAUUUACCUAGUUGUGACACACGGGAAAAGAGCUAUGCUCACGCUGUCCCGUCUCCAUAUCCGCUCUUGUCCAACUUUUCCUCAAAAUCAUGAAUGUUUCUUGCACAAACCACCUCCUCCUCCAGCCUAUUCCUUAGCUCAAUGCUUCUGUUUUAGAAGCUGAACUUUUCCACAUCUUGCCUACACGUGGUCGUGUGUGUGUGUAUAUGUGCGUGUGCGUGUGCGUGUGAGUGUGUGUGUGUGUGUGUGUGUGUGUGUGUGUGUGUGUGUGUAUUUCUUGUCAUUUUCUUUUUAAUUUUAUGGAAUUUUUUAUUUUAUGAAAUUUUUCCAUCAAUCUGACUCAUCUUCCUUUUGCUUCAUCAGUGGAUGCUCUCUCUCUCUCUCUCUCUCUCUCUCUCUCUCUCUCUCUCUCUCUCUCUCUCUCUCCCCUGCUUUCAUCUGUUUACUCUCAGCUUUCUCUGGCUUCAGGUUUUCUAUUUAUCCAACAAUUUUUCAUCCUCUGUUUUGAUUCUUUGCCUCGCGGUGAGAGAAAAAAUGAAACACAAUGGCACCGUCUGGAGCAUUAUUGGGGCACACCAGCACUCAGGUUCACACAAACACUCACAGUAUAAACAUUUUGUCAUUUUGAUUUCAGGCACAACUUGUACAUUUUAUUUCCUUACAGUCUAGCAUCUCCUUGGGUGUGAAAUGUGACCAUGUGCUGACAGCUCCCAUGAUAACUAAUACUAAUAAUAAUACAGUACUUUAAUAACCUUCUAUGCGAUUAAAUUCCUCAGUUGAAUGUACAUAUCAUGGCAUGACGUGAACAUAUACGGUACUUAUACAGACUUCUAUGUGAUCAAAUGUCUUAUCAGAGUAUCAUGGGUUGCAGGAAUGGUCUCACCACACCACGAAUAUAUUCCUGGUCGCUUAAGUCUACCACAGCACUGCCAACCACAGCUUAUAGUUCGGACCACAGCCACAGAAUAGGGGAGUGUGGCCACCUUCACCACAGCGGCCAAGUUGCUACCAGAAGAGCUGUGUGGAUUUCAAAUUGAUGGUGAUAUGAUAAGUGUUUAGAUUGACUGAUUUAUCGGAAUUUUCAAUCAUGUCUAUAUCUAUUACACAAAGCAUCAAUAAUAAAUGGUUUCAACAGUAACUUUAAGGGGUUUGUUUUUAUUUUUUUUAUUUUUAAGUCACUGUUAUUCUUAUUUAUUUGUGUUUUCAUGUUUUUUAUGUGUCAAGGGAAACAUUUAAGGAGAGAGAGAAAGGAAGAGAAGAAACAAAGAUGAAGGAAUAGAAGAGAAAGUGAAGAUAAAAUGAGGGACGGAAGAUAAGGAGGAGGAGGAGGAGGAGGAGAAAGGAAAGAACACAAAAAGUAAUAGAAGAGAAGGAAGAAGAGGAGGAAAGAAAAGAAAGUAAGAAGAGGAAGAAGAAGCAAAAGAAAAGAAAAAGGAAAAAAGGAGUUGGUUGGCUUUAUCAUGAAUAGAAAACAGAUUAAAGUUUACGUCUCGGCAUCAGCUAAAGUUUCCCACAACUCUUUAGGUAACAACAUAGUGCCCCUGUGAUGAGGGUGUCCACACUCUCCUGUUGUGUGGCUCUGGUUUGAUCUGCCUCAAGCAAAGCCACUAAACAUAUGCAGGCAAGAUCUGUAACACUAGAAUACCUUACUGACUAUCACUUAUUCACUGGGUUGCUAUAUAGACACAUGAUUAUCCGUCAAUACAUUCAUAAACUAUUCUCUCACCGUUACACUAUUCCUUCCUACUUUCUCUCUCACUUCUGUCUCCUUUUUAAUUUCUUUUCUUUCCUGCAACUCCUCUUUCUUCUUUUAUGGACCUCAAUAUAGCGUAUUUCAGAUUUAACAAACUUUCCGGCCCAGUGCAGUACAUGGUUUGAUUUGCUGGGUUACUAUAUAGACACUGUUAUCCAUCAAGAUAUCACAUAAACCACAGUAAAACAUCAAUAUUAUGGACCUCUAUCUAGCAUAUUUUGGCU